GUCUACGGCCAUACCACCCUGAACGCGCCCGAUCUCGUCUGAUCUCGGAAGCUAAGCAGGGUCGGGCCUGGUUAGUACUUGGAUGGAAUGCCUACCCAUCUAGCAGACUCCACUCACUCUGGGCU
rnacentral:rRNA from 1 species